UGCUUUGGUUACCACGUCCUGGGAAAUGAACAACUUAAAACCAUUCAAUAAUUGAACCUGCUUUGAAACAUCUGAUCAGCCACUUCAAGACGGCAAGUUAUUUUAGCUCCUGUCUAAAUAAGUUAGUGGGCUCCAGUCCUUAAACCACUAUUUUCUUUAUUAAUUCCUCAAGUACAGACUUUUGUAUGUAACCAGUCUUUUUAAACCUGUGUAUAAUGACUCAUUAAUGAGUUGUAAAAUAAAUGUAGUGAGUUAUGACCAAUAUAAAAAAAUAGAAAAGGCCAGGCACAGUCGCUCGAGAAUAUAAUCCCAGCUACUCUAAGAGGCUGAGGUGGAGGGAUCUUUAGGCCAGGAGUUUGAGACCAGCCUGGGGAAACAUCACGAGACUCCAUAUCUGAAAACAAUUUUUUUAAAAAUUAGCCAAGCAUACCUGUUACCAGCUACUUGGGAAGCUGAGGCAGGAGGAUUGUUUGAAGCCAGGAGUUUGAGACCAGCCUGAGCAAACUCAGUGAGAUCCCAUCUCUACAAAAAUUACAAAAAUUAACCAGCGUGUUGGUACACAUCUGUCGUCCCAGCUACAUGGGAAGCUGAGGGAAGAGGAUCACGUGACAGUUGAGCCCAAGAGUUCAAGGCUGCAGUGAGCUAUGGUCAGGCCACUGCAUUCUAGCCUGGGCAAUAGAGCAAGACCUUGUAUCUAAAAAGAAAGAAAGAAAAGAAAAAAAGAAGAUAAAAGAAUAGGAAAUAUCAUAGUGGACAGCACAUAAGUAGAGGUGAAGCCAGCUGGACUUCCUCAGUGGAGUGGGGACUUGGAGAACUUUUCUGUCUAGCUAGAGGAUUGUAAAUGCACCAAUCAGCACUCUGUAAAAAUGCAC
rnacentral:lncRNA from 10 species